UUGGAGGGCAAGUCUGGUGCCCGCAGCCGCGGUAAUUCCAGCUCCAAUAGCGUAUAUUAAAGUUGUUGCAGUUAAAAAGCUCGUAGUUAAAUUUCGAGACCGGUUUACUGGUCGUGCUUUUGUACGUACUGGUAUUAUUGGUUUCUCCUUUCUGACGAAUCAUAAUGCCAUUAAUUUGGUGUUUUGGGGAAUCAGGACUGUUACUUUGAAAAAAUUAGAGUGUUUAAAGCAGGCUCACGCUUGAAUACAUUAGCAUGGAAUAACGAAAUAGGACGUUUGAUUUUAUUUUGUUGGUUUCUAGGAUCGACGUAAUGAUUAAUAGGGAUAGUUGGGGGCAUUAGUAUUCAAUUGUCAGAGGUGAAAUUCUUGGAUUUAUUGAAGACUAACUACUGCGAAAGCAUUUGCCAAGGAUGUUUUCAUUAAUCAAGAACGAAAGUUAGGGGAUCGAAGACGACCAGAUACCGUCGUAGUCUUAACCAUAAACUAUGCCGACUAGGGAUCGGAUGAUGUUAAUUUUUUAAUGACUCAUUCGGCGCCUUACGGGAAAC
rnacentral:rRNA from 1 species